GUGACCAACAAGACUGAUGUACAGGAGGCUGUCAGAGCCAUUCUUCGCACAGAGUUGAAGCCUUUCACUCCUCGAGAGUUCACAUGCGAGGGAAUGCUGGAGAGGGUUCGCAGUUAUAUCGCUCACCAGAAUUUUUGCAGUAAAUCUGUCCCUACUUGGCCACCAGAAAGCACUCUAAGGGUGCACCUGGGUCCGC